CUGCGCUCCCGCUCUCCUUCCUCCUCCCCUCGGCCGCGCCCCGCGACGCCUCUGAGCUCCGGGCCCGCUAAGGAGAGGGCUCCUCCUGCCCGCGGUUUGCAGAGGGAAGCGGCGGAGACCGGGAGGGCGCGCUCGGUUCUGGCCAGGCCAGCAGCUGCGGCCGAGUGGGGGGCUCCGGCCUGGCCGCUUCCUGGGACCCCCUCCCGCCCGGGGCCGCCGCCGCCAGCUGCAGCCUCUCGGCUCCUCCCCAGAGGAGCGCGGGGCCGGGGCCCAGGCCAAGUCCCUCCCCGGAGCCGCGGGGCGUCUGCGCCGCCGGAUGAGCUCCCCGCCGGGCGGCGACCCCGUGCCCCACGCCCGUCUCGGCAAGGAGGAGGCGGAGGCGGCCCCGCGAGAGAGGCCCAAGGAGCGACUGGGCCUGGACCCAGGGGACGCCAGGGCAGCGGAGCUCCCGGCACCGGUCCCGUCCCCCCCCCCCCGCCCACCCGCGGGACGCGCCCGCCUUAACCCUCCAGGCGCCGGGCCCGCUGGGGGCGCUGAGAGGGGCUGGUGUGCCGGGGGCGCCUUCCUGCUUGGGGCCGACGGGGGUGUGUGAGUGCAGGCGUGUGCGUGUGUGUGCGCAUGUGUGUGUGUGGAUGUGCGUGUGCGUGUGUAUGCCUGUGUGUGUUUGUGUGUGCGUCUGUGUGCAUGUGUGUGUGCACAUGCAUGUGUGUUCACGUGAGUGCAUCUCAUCUGUCACCCACAACCAGGGGAGCGGUGCUUGUACAACCAGCUGGUGGCUUCUGCAACCAGCAGCUUCUGGCCGUGCAGCUCCCUGUAGGGAAUAUGAGUUAAUCUGGAUGUCAGCCUAAGAUGUAGUCAGGGAGCACAAGCAGUCGAGUUAAGACAGGAGCCUCGUUCAAAGUUCCGCCCGGGGCCAGGCACAGCGCAGGCUCUCAGAGGAGGGCCCAGGAGUCCACAGGCUGCGGCGGCGCGAGACAAAAGUCGGAAGACAGGACCCCGCUGAGGAGUGAGGAGACAGCGGCCAACCCUCCGCCAGACCCUUCCGCCUGGUGCCUUUACUGGGCUCUGAGGAGGAAUUUGGUGGUUCAGUCGGCCCAUCCGUGGACACCAUAAAAACAAAGAGAAAACAGACACACACAGAUGCACACAUAGAUACACACAGAUACACACAGACACGGAUAUAUAGACACACACAGAUACACACACGUGGACACAGACACACACAUAGACACAGAUAUAUAGACACACACAGAUACACACACGUGGACACAAACACACACAGACAUACCCAUAGUUACGGAUAUAUGCAUGGAUACACAAUACACAGACACACAGAUGAUACAUGCAUAGACAGAUAUAUGGACACACACACACGGACACACAGAUACACACAUAGACACAUAGACAGACACAGAUACAGACACAGGCACAUGUAGACACACAUGGACAUACAAUACUCAGAUGAACACAGAGAUAAUAUACACAUAGACACAGAUCUAUAGAUACACAAAGACAUACACACAGAUAUACAUAGAUGCACACAUAGACACAGAUACACAUGUCAUCACACAUGGACACACACAGACACACACCAAUACACACAUAGACAUACGAAGACACAGGUACACAGACACGUAUACACACAGACACGCAUAUAUACAUACAGACGCAGAUAUACACACAGACACAGACAUACACACACACACAGACACAGAUAUACACAGAUACAUGGACAGAUACACAUUCACAUACACACAUAGAUACACAGAAACACACAGACACACAGACACAUAGAGACACACACACAGCCACACAGGCCCUGAGCCUCCCUGGGCCCUCCCUUGUGCAGAGGCGGAGGGGCUGGCUGUCGGGGAGGGCACCUGGAGAGGACACACAGCCCCAUCAGAGACCAGGGAGUGGCUCUGGGAGCUCUUUUCGUCCAAAGGGGCUGGAGCUCCAGUUAGCCAAGGUGAGGGCGUGGAGGAUUCCUGGGGGAAGCUUCGUGCUGCAAGGUGGAAAAGACAGAUAACAAGAGAAAAACAGAAGCUUAAUAGCAUGUAUACCUUGGUCUGCAAGGGACGGACUCGGGACAGGCUAUGUCGCAAAGGCGUGGCUUGGAGCUCAGCCUUAAAGACCAUGUUCGACGGAAACAAAGAGAAAGAGUGUGUGGGGAGGGGCCCAAGAAAUUACCCCAAACUGGGGUCAGGCCUUCUCCAUGGAUGAGCGUCUCCGGUGACUUACAGGCGGCCUUCUGGCCCAGAGAGGGGGCACCCUGGUGAGCGCAGAUGCCUGUACGGAUGUGACUUUCUCUCAUAGAACAGCAGCUUCCACUCUUGUUUUCAGAAUUUCUCCUGUGGUUGCAGUUUCUCAAAAUAAGCAGCUCAAAAUAAUGCUUAUGCCAAAGAGGCAUAUUUUGGGGUGGCAUAUUCUGGUCUGCUCUACGUGGAAGCGGACAGAAAAAUGGGGCAGAGGCCAGGGAGGGGAGCGGGACCGACUUCCAGUUCCCAGACCCGAGCAAGGGAACCUGAGGCCGAGCUCUGGAGCUUGGGGUCUGGAAGGGGUUCUCUGAGGACACUCUGGGAGUGGGGGAACAGCUGCCUCCUCAGGUUUCCCCCAAGGGAUCCUGCCUGGGGAGACCUGGACUGGGCAAGGCUUGGCAGCUGCCCUGCCAGGAGGAGGGAGACGGCUGCAGUGGGGGGGUGCAGGGUCGCUGGGGUCCCACCCGGGGGUGCUGGGACCGGCCAGAGGACACUGCGAUUUCCCAAUGGGCCAGGAAGGAAGGAGGCGCUUUCCAGGCAGAGCAUGACCCCGCACAGGAGGCAGAGACAGAGUCUCUGAGUGUCCCCGUCAGGUCCCUGGGACUGUGGCAGGGGAAGAAGCCGCAGUACCUCCUGCCCUUUAGGACAGGAGAGGUUGUCGUCCCAGCGUUGCCCAGCAGCUGGUUGGAGCCCAGGGCUCCUCAGAUGAGCCAGCGCCUGAGCCCUGAGCUGCCAGCUGGCCUGGCUGGAGCCGCCACUGAUCUUCCCAGGAGAAAGAGGCCGCCGUGCGUAAGUAGCGAGGUAUAAGAGGACGUGUAGAGCCGUGUCGCUCGCGCAAGAAGGGGAAAGAAGGAAGCCUGUCUGCAUGGCUGCGCAGGGGAUAUUGGAACAGAACUGAAGGAACUCAUGCAACGCUUCUCUGUGAAGGGGGCACCGCGAUGUAUGGACAAGGGUGGGAAAGGGAUGCUGGGCCAUAAAGUUUGGGGUGCGUGAUGGUGUGGAGGAGAAAGCCCUCCUGGGAGCUGUGGCCAGGGAGUGUGCAGUCCACGAGCAGAUGGAGCUUUAUGUGCCUCCCACCUCCUCCCAGGGGCCCCCCACGACUCGCUGAGGCCCCAUCAGCAACAGGAUGACGGGUUUUCUUUCCCACACAGAUCGGGGACGUCCCAGCCUCCUGAGGUGGGGCAGAGGCGGGCACCGCAGCCCAAGAGCUGGCUUUCCCCCUGCACCUCCACCCAUGCGUUGGCCUGGAGUGGCCCAGCGGAGGGUCCAGGUGGGGGUGCUGGAGGGGCCCACCCAGCUCAGGCCUGGCACCUGCACCUUUCUGGAUCCCACGAUGUUUUGCUGAGGGUUACUCAUCCAAGACCUGCCCGGAGGCUCCGAGCUGUUUACCACAGGCCAGCUCUGGCCGUAGCCUAUUCUGGGAGCCUGGGGGUGCUGGGAGGAGGCUGGGGCUCUGGGUGGCAGGAGGAGGAGAGCCGUCUUGUCCUUACUGAGCGUCCAGCGGGCGCCAGAUGCUGCGCCGCGUGCAAUUCUAAUCCUGGCCGGCAAAGCCAGAACGGGACAAUAUUCCUUCCUCCCCAGGCCUCCCGCUUGGCUGUGGGUGCUGACGGGCAAUGGGCCUGGCUAUCGGGGCUCACAGGGGAGCCGGGAGAGCCGCUAGCAGGAGAAAAUGUGAGCUCUGCAUCUGCUGGGCUGGGUUCGGGGGACGCGGGGUGGCUGGGGAGGGUCGUGCUCGUCCCUCCGGCUGCUGUCGCUGGCCCGCCGGCCAGUCCGCCCCAACGCUGGACUCCUGGGCUAUCCGUUCCCCACCCACCGUCUGAGGGUCUUUGAAAAUAGAACUCAUUCGUUUUCAUUAAAAGCAACCGAUCAAGAAGCCGAAAACACAAGAAUAAAACAAUGUAAAAGCUUGACUUUAUUUUGUAUCCGUCAAACACAGGACUCACAGUCCGUUACACAUGGAGCAUUCGCAACACUGAUCAUGUUCUGAUGGUCACACAAUGUCGGGAAAUUCCAAAAGGCAGAUAAUCUAGAGUCUGUUCACGGCAUCCACACACACACACCGGUGCACAGGCACACGAGCACACAGUCUACAGAUUGUUCGUAGACACAGUGUGGUAUAAUGAACAAAAGCUGGCUUUAAAAAUAGUUCUACCUGGGCCCGGUGCGGUGGCUCACGCCUGUAAUCCCAGCGCUUUGGGAGGCCGAGGCGGGUGGAUCACCAGAGGUCAGGAGUUCGAGACCAG
rnacentral:lncRNA from 10 species